ACAGUUUUAAUUUUUGACUUGAGCACGUCUGCUUGUAUUUUGACUAUUGUGUGCUCGCAAUGUAACUUGACCUAAGUAACCUUUAGGUAAUGACAUUUUCAUCUUUGUUAAUAUUCCUGUGAAAUUUAUUUUUCUGUGUAUUUUAUAGUGUCGUUAAAAUUUCAGUCUGAUGAAGGAUGAAGAGGUGUCAAAACUUAAGUCAAUGUAUUGAAAAUUAUUUGCAAUCAGUUCUGCAUUACCCCAGAUGACCACCGUCAGUAACCUUGUCUCAUUUCUCCAACAUUGCAAGAAGAUACUACGGUGUUACUCCUGGCUUCACGGUAUGUGAUUUCAAGAAGAGAUGGAAAAUGAAGAGGAACAUACAAGGUCAUAGUGUGUCUAUUAGGUGUUGGAAUGAAGGGAAACAUGUAUGGCUAACAACUCUGUUUGUAGCAGUGGCCACAGUGCAAAAACAUGCUUCAAUUCUUUUCAGUAAUAGACAAAUGGAGUGGUAAGUGUCUCACAUUGAUCUGUGAAAGCAGCAUGAGGCUUAUAUCACUGGAUGGCAACCAUUGACAAAUUGUUCUCGCACUGUGGCAAACUGAAUUUUCUGAAUAGUGUGAAUAACAGAUAUCUGUGAGCAACUAAAAAAACUUAUUCAAAUAUGACUCAAUUUUAUAAAUGAUUAUGUAUUAUGAAUAUGCUUAAUAAACAAACAGUAAAAUCAGAAUAGAAAGCAGAACGUAUGAAAUAGAUAUUACAUUAAAACAAAUAGCAUGUGAUAGCAAAAUUUAGUGGGCUGGAGAACAAGCUGAAAGUACUACUAUGUCGAAGCUACAAGUGAUGAAUAAAAUAAAAACAUCUCAAACGUAUGCGUAAGAAAACUAGUCAACUAUUUCCGUUUUGAAAGAAGGCAAUAUUUCACACAUU